rnacentral:rRNA from 1 species
GACGAACGCUGACGGCGUGCUUAACACAUGCAAGUCGAAGGGAGUGGCGAACGGGUGAGUAACACGUGAGUAACCUGCCCUUUUCUUUGGGAUAAGCCUGGGAAACUGGGUCUAAUACUGGAUGGAUUGGGAUGGGCUCGCGGCUUAUCAGCUUGUUGGUGGGGUGAUGGCUUACCAAGGCUUUGACGGGUAGCCGGCCUGAGAGGGUGGGGGGUGCAGCUGGUAGUGAGAUACGGCACAGGUGACUAGGGGGGGGAGAGGGGGGGUAUGGUGCACAAUGGCGGAAGGUGUGCUGCAGCGGUGUCGUGUGGGGGGUGAGGGCCUUUGGGUUGUAAACUCCUUUCGCCCGCGGAAGGGUAGUGAGUAAAGAAGCGCCGGCUAACUACGGGCCAGCAGCCGCGGUAAUUC